UCAGUUUAAGCCCACUGCCCUUCUCCCCAUUCCGAGUUCUUCCCUGAGGAAGGCAAAAAUGACUGCUUAUGAUAAGGCUAACCUCGGAGCUCACCUCCAGAAACACUGUGUAAUACCCAAACUAGGCACCUAUGCAUGGGAGAGCUGAACUCACCUGCACUAGCAAGUCGUACCAUUGAAGUGACACCAGCAGUCUCAGGGAUAUGAGCAAACCAGUAAAGUGCUUAGUUCAAUAAACAGCAUGAGACCGUGGCCCCACUUCAGACUCAUGAGGCUGGAAAGGCACCUGGCUGCCAAAAGAGUCAUUUUAUCAUAACCACCCUUCACGUUUUUACCUCCUGAGCCUAUUUAAACAAACUUAACUCAGAACCAGAGCUCUACAAAUCUAUCCUGGAAAAAGAAGGGUUAAAAAAGCCACAAGGGACAUUGUGACUCCCUUCUUAAACACUCUCACCACCCCACAGAGGAGCCCAUCUAGUCCAUGAGAGUGACCUUUAACUAGCCUACCUAGCCAGGGCUCAGCAUGAAUGCAAUUUACAGACCAUUUCAGCUCUCCAGCUUUCUUAACACAAAGAAGAAAAAUCAAAACCCAAGCACAAUGGAAAAGAAAGAAAGAGAGAGGGAAAAUAACCCUGCAGAGCAAUCAUGUCUGGGGCUCCUCUGAUGGCUUUCUGUUCCCUUCCAGGACACAGAAAUGACUCCCAGUGUGUUAAUUACCCCCAUUACCACAAACUCUCCGCUAACAAGGAGUAGCUAAAAGGAAGCGUUGGCAGCAGCUGAGCAGUUAUUGCUCUGUACUGCCACGAAGGAGAAACCAGACUCCCCCAUCUCUGAGCUGGUACUAACCAGGAGAGCGAUUUCUGCAAAACUCAACAGCCUUUAUUGUAAUUCCCAUGGCAGCUGCACUGGGAACACUGGCCUCACCUCAAUUCCACCGUCGGUAAAAGAGAACAAAGAAUACCUGCUUUUCUAAAGGCUUUGGAGCUCAACAGUUGGAGAGUUCUGAAUCAUUAUCAUUUAUUUUACUCCUUCUGUAGAUGGUCUGUCUCCAUCCCCUGCAUCCUCUCCUUUCUGCCAUCAAAAAGCUUGGACAGAUCCGUAGCAUUGUUUAUUCUACCAGAUCCAAAUACACCAAAUGCAGUCAGUAGCUAUACACAUCUCAGCAGGGAAUGUUAGUGGGGAAUUUGGUAGUAUCAGAGUUCUGGCAUUAUUGAUACAGGCAAUACUUCUUCCAGAAGUAUAAAGUAUUUCCAUUUUGUUUCAAAACAUGCAUAUAUAGUAUUUCCAUUUUCGUUUAAUAAAAAUCAAGUCUCUUGAAAAUGUGCUUAUCAUUACCAAAAAACAAAGUUUGAGCACAUCACUAAUGCCUGAAAAUAAGGCUGCUUCCAAGAUUUUCCUAAGACUGACAGUGCAGAAUGGGCUUACUUUCCCCUCUAAAUUUAUUUGAUACUACAGACACAGGCCAGCAUUAGACACUCCUCAAAGGGGACACACAACUGGAAUGUGUGGGGGACUCCUGACUUGGAAGCAAGAGGAAAAAUGUCACCAAUCCACUGCUUUUUCAGUUACCUGAUUAUAGAAAAAGGUACAAGGCACAAUAUCAACAAAAAAUUAAAACAAAUAGCGAGAAUAUUAAGUAACCUUACUAAUACCUUGCUCUUCCUAGCUGUCUACCCAUCUGUCUCUUCUUUGCAUAUGCAUUUUAAGUUCUUCAAGAGCAAGAACAUUUUCUUUUCUGUCUGACAGAAUCUAGCACAACAUAAUCAAGAGCAGAGUUAUAAGGCACUACACACGUAUACACUAAUAAUUGUGAUUUUAUGUACUUGAGCUAGCAAUAAAAUGCCUUUAUAUUCCAGUUAAUGUAUAACACUUCCUUUUAAAAAAUUAAAAAGAAAAGCUUAAAAGGAUAUUCAGAAUGACUAUAAUAAGAACAAAGUUUUAACUCAUUUUCUGUUUCACUUACAAAUCAUAGUCAAUUCACACUUUCUUUAACAUAUUUUAUACUCCUGGACCAAUUUUCAGUAAGUCGGAGCAUGUCAGUCUGCAUGUUUUUAAAUAUUAUAACAGUAUAUUAUAAAGACAGGAGGCAGAAGAAAUCAAAUUUAUUACUGUACUAAAAACAUAGCAUGUAUAGAGGGGGACACUGAACCUGGCCAGAUUUCCCUGUCAUUAAUUAAUUCACCAGUAAUUAAUUUAGAUCAUUCUCUUAGUCUGCUGGCUCACAGGAAAAUAAGCACCAUCCACUUAAAAAGGAAAUAAAGGGCCCAUGGACAUCUUGAAAUCUACAGUGGAUUUUCCCAUUAUGUGACAUGUUAGCACUCUCUAACAAGUGAACUCAGUUUUACGAAGUUUUAUUGCAACUUAGGAAUCUCAUGCAAAAAUUUAUAUUCAGCUUCCCUCAAAGCAAACACGAACACCUAAACAUAAUGAACGGAUGUGAGAAGCUGUCCAGAGUGCAGGCAAUGCACUAAGCUCUUUAAAAAGCUGAGGUUCCAUUUACAGACCAAAGGCCUUUCAGGGAGCCCAGUUAAACACUGGAAAUGAAGUGUGGGUGAUCUGUGUUCACCCAGCUCUCACACUGGCUGGUGCUGACCAACACAGGGAGCUGGCACUGGCACCCUGCUAAGCGCUCUACAAGUCUCAGCCACUGUGAGACGACAUCUCAGCUUUCUGAGGCACACUCUUCUCUUACCACUAGCUCCAGAAAUAUGUUGCUUUUCGUGGGUGUACACAUAACAGCAGGCUGGGAAUCCCCUGCCAUGGGAAAUCAAUGCAUUCUUCCAGCUAUCUGUUGUUUUCAUCCUCUAAUACACCAAUUCCUGCCAAAAUUCAUUCCACCCCAUCCCUCUCCCCACUUCUUCCUCAGGGUAAUUGGUGAACAUGAUGAGAAGCUAUGCAUAGACAGGUUUCUCAGUUCUGGCGUGCUGGGGAAAUGGAAGUGGAAAUCUUUGCUAAGACACAUUGGUUCCAAAAAUCUUUUAAGUGUCACUGUCUUGGCUGGAAAAGGAUAACACUUCAAAUGGCUGAAGAUAUUGAAAACUGUCCAGAUCAUCAAGGAAAUUACUUGUAAUUUUGCAUGAUAAGGGUCAGUUUCUAAACUGACCAGCAAUUACGGGACAGGUAAGAACUACACUAAAUACAUUCUACUUGCAAAGAGUCAUUUCAGCCUGGCCUGUGCCUGCAGCACUACAUGGUGAUCUGUCAGUGUGCACCAAGCAGUCCUCCACCUAACCCAGACUGCCUGCAGGCAAGGCUGGAAUAACAAACCUGUCACUCUGCCACAGCAGUGGGCUCACAGCUAAGGACUAAAACAGUGUUGUAGUCUCCGGAGCCCUAGGGACCCUCAAAGCAGAAAUACAAAGCUUUUGGCACAAUGUGCUUUGAAAGGAAGGCUGUUGAACAGGUAAUCUUAGGCUUAGGAGUCCUAUGGGCCCAGACAGUGGGAUAAGUCACACAGAAUACGGUUCUCAUUUUUGUUUUUUAAUUCAUUUACACCUUCCUGGUGCUUCUGUGCUUCACACUGUUUUGCCCUACAAGUUUUCUCUCUAGUUGUCUUUUCCUCAGAAACUUCCUGCUCUGAAAUGCAGAAUCAAACAUGAAGAUGUGCAAAACAAAAGGAUUUUUGCAAAAUUCAAGUAUAAAGGAUUCAUCUGCCUAUUUCAGUGGAACCACCUAAUGACAAAAUUACAUUCCCUGGAGUAAGAAACACACAAGAUGCCAAAAAGGCAGGGGAUAUAUGCAUGUAGCAAAGCACAAGAGGAAUCAUCAUACACACAGAGCGUGGCAGAUAUUAACUAAAAGAAGAAGCCCAGAGGCUGGACAGUCCUGAGCUUUCAAAAGUACUUGGGCAUGACUGCAGAAAGGUGGAAGAGCAAAACUGCAUUUUAUUUUAAAAUAAACUUGGAUAAAAAACAUUAGGAAAUACUGUAACGGAGAAUAACCCUUCAAUGCCUGAGAAACAGACUGGGGCACUGCACAACACUCUUCUAUUUUCUCUCUGUAUUAAAGCCCCAAAUGCAGGAGUGUGCCAGGGCCAUAGACCCAGGAAGCAAAGUCUGCCAGCCAGCUUAAUACCUCAAGUGAGCUCAGGGAAAGAAGAAGCUAACUAGCAGCACUAUGGAAAUUAAUGCCUUUAGAAAUUAGUUCAAAUUUUCUAAUGGAGCAUUUUAACACCACUGGAGAAGACAUGUCUCUUUAUUUAAUCAUUACUUGCUACAUAUUGAUAAAUCAAUCACACAAGGUAGAUUUAGAGAGAUUAAAAAAAAAAAUAUAUAUAUAUAUACAUAUGUAUAUAUAUUCCUGCAAAUGUUCCUUUAAAAGUCAGAUGGUAUUUUAAAGAGCUUCCAGCCUUGGGACUCACAGUGCAGUGCCCUGGAAGACAAUUGACAUUCUGAGUGACUGGGCUGCGAAUUCAAAAUCCCAACUCAACCUGCUCAAGCUGGGAUUCAAACUCACAUACUUUAAAAACAGGAAGGAAAAAAAACUACAAAGAAAGAAAGAGAGAGCGAGGAAAAUACCUGAAUUCCUGCAACUCCCGAGACCAGAAUCUCUAAGGUUAUAGAUGCAGCAGUGGCUCUGGGAAUAUCACUAUACGGUAUUCCAUAGCUGCAUGGGAUGUAUUUUCUGCUUUGCCAUACUAAAUAUGAAUCUCUCUAUGGUUAGCAAUACAGCUGACAAAAGAUAAUCGUUUGUUAUGAAAGCCACUAGUGAAAAUGAAAAUAGCAUUUAUUAUAUUGAGGUGCUUUGAUUGAAUUUUCUAUUUUUAAUUUAAAAAUGAAACAUUCUAAUUUACCUGGCUUUGGAUAUAGUAACUUCCAGUCAUUAUUUGCAGUUUAUUUUUAUUUCUUCUGGGAAAGAAGUAUAGAAUAGGGAAGGAGUAUAGAAGUGGGAAAACUGAGACUGCUAUAUAAAUAGCUUCAUUCCUAGCAACUGCAUAACUUUUCAUUUCAAAUCAAUUUUAAAUGUAUUACCCUCCC
ensembl:lncRNA